AUGGUGACUAAACUAAAUCGGCAUCAUCAUAGAAAAAAUAGUCUCAUGUAUUCUGAAUCCACACAACAAUACAUCAGUACAAGAGAAACAACAAUAAAAAGGGAAAUGUAUUCCCAAGUGCCCAGCCGCAAGUUUGAAAUUACCGCAAUUAUUAGUACUAUAACAUGCAUCAAUAUAAGAAAGGAGAAAAGGAUCAAAGAUCCCAGGGUGUCACACAGAAUGUGGCCUCACAGACUCAGCAAAACAGACAAGAAAGAAGAAAGGAGAAAGGAGGAUAAACACUAUCUAAAAGCCUCUGAAAAGAUUUGCUGCUUUGGCUAG
rnacentral:rRNA from 1 species